GUGUAAGUUAUUAAGGGCACACGGUGGAUGCCUUGGCAUUAAGAGCCGAUGAAGGACGUGUGAAUCUGCGAUAAGCCUCGGGGAGCCGAUAACUGGGCUGUGAUCCGAGGAUUUCCGAAUGGGGAAACCUGGCUCAUCUUCAUGGUGAGUUACCGCCAGCUGAAUGUAUAGGCUGGUUGGGGGGAACGCGGGGAAGUGAAACAUCUCAGUACCCGCAGGAAGAGAAAAUAAAGUAAUGAUUCUGUGAGUAGUGGCGAGCGAAAGCGGAAGAGACUAAACCUGUGGUGUGUGAUAGCGGUUAGGCGUUGCAUCAUGGGGGUUGUGGGAGUCACAGUGGCAGUUCUAACUGGCUGCCGGCAUGAUGUUCAGGAUGGUAGGUGAACGACUUGGAAUGGUCGGCCGUAGAGGGUGAGAGUCCCGUAAUCGAAAUUGUUCUGUCCGUGGUGUGGCCACCCGAGUAGCACGGGGCUCGUGGAAUCUCGUGUGAAUCUGCCAGGACCACCUGGUAAGUCUAAAUACUUCUUAAUGACCGAUAGUGAAUCAGUACCGUGAGGGAAUGGUGAAAAGUACCCCGGGAGGGGAGUGAAAUAGUACCUGAAACCGUGUGCUUACAAGCCGUUGGAGCCUUUUGGGGUGACAGCGUGCCUUUUGAAGAAUGAGCCUGCGAGUUAGUGUUAUGUCGCGAGGUUAACCCGUGUGGGGUAUCCGUAGCGAAAGCGAGUCUGAAUAGGGCGUUUGAGUGGCAUGACCUAGACCCGAAGCGGAGUGAUCUAUCCAUGGCCAGGUUGAAGCGACGGUAAGACGUCGUGGAGGACCGAACCCACUUCAGUUGAAAAUGGAGGGGAUGAGCUGUGGAUAGGGGUGAAAGGCCAAUCAAACUCUGUGAUAGCUGGUUCUCCCCGAAAUGCAUUUAGGUGCAGCGUUACGUGUUUCUUGCCGGAGGUAGAGCUACUGGAUGGCCGAUGGGCCUUCACGGGUUACUGACGUCAGCUAAACUCCGAAUGCCGGUAAGUGAGAGCGUAGCAGUGAGACAGUGGGGGAUAAGCUUCAUUGUCGAGAGGGAAACAGCCCAGACCACCAACUAAGGCCCCUAAGCGUGUGCUAAGUGGGAAAGGAUGUGGAGUUGCUUAGACAACCAGGAGGUUGGCUUAGAAGCAGCCAUCCUUGAAAGAGUGCGUAACAGCUCACUGGUCAAGUGAUUCUGCGCCGAUAAUGUAGCGGGGCUCAAGUACACCGCCGAAGUUGUGGCAAUGAUCUUUUUGGAUUGUUGGGUAGGGGAGCGUCGUGUAGCCAGUGAAGCUGCGGUGUAAACCAGUGGUGGAGGCUAUGCGAGUGAGAAUGCAGGCAUGAGUAGCGAAAGAUGAGUGAGAAACUCAUCCGCCGGAUGAUCAAGGGUUCCAGGGUCAAGUUAAUCUGCCCUGGGUUAGUCGGGGCCUAAGGCGAGGCCGACAGGCGUAGUCGAUGGAUAACGGGUUGAUAUUCCCGUACCGGUGAAAAACCGCCCAUACUGAUAUUGUGAUGCUAACCAUGCGAAGCAUGAUGUGCAGGCUUUUGUUUGUGUGUUGUGUGGGUUGUGGGACCCGAUCUUUGGAGGUAAACGUAUUAACAGGUGUGACGCAGGAAGGUAGCCAAGCCACGCGAUGGUUGUCGUGGUCUAAGCGUGUAGGGUUGUCGGUUGUUAAAUGCGCCGGCUGUGUGCCUGAGACGUGAUGGGACCCCGUUUUUGGGGGAUUUGGUGAUCCUAUGCUGCCGAGAAAAGCAUCGGCGUGAGGUUUUAGCCGCCCGUACCCUAAACCGACACAGGUGAUCAGGUAGAGAAUACUAAGGCGAUCGAGAGAAUCAUGGUUAAGGAACUCGGCAAAAUGCCCCCGUAACUUCGGGAGAAGGGGGACCUUGAGCGUGAUGGGCACUUGCUGCCUGGAGCGUGUAUGGGUCGCAGAGACCAGGGGGAAGCGACUGUUUAUCAAAAACACAGGUCCGUGCGAAGUCGUAAGACGAUGUAUACGGACUGACUCCUGCCCGGUGCUGGAAGGUUAAGAGGAUUGGUUAGCCCUUUUUUGGGCGAAGCUGAGAAUUUAAGCCCCAGUAAACGGCGGUGGUAACUAUAACCAUCCUAAGGUAGCGAAAUUCCUUGUCGGGUAAGUUCCGACCUGCACGAA
rnacentral:rRNA from 1 species